rnacentral:rRNA from 1 species
AACCGUUCGGGGGUAAACGGACAGAGCCCGUGAAUCCGGGUGCGCGGAAUUCAGGACCGACGCGCGAAGCCGUCGAUUCGAUAUUUCCGCCGCCGACCCNUAGCGGGUGCGGACGUCGCGACCCGUUUGUCGUCGGUCUGGCGAGUCGCGUUUCAAGUUCGCCCGCUCCGUCUCUCGGGGCGGCGGUGAUGGCGUGUCUCGGGCGNNNNGCAGCAGACGGUAGCUGUAGCGCGGGUAAUCGACGCAGCCGCGCGUUUUCCGCGGAGCGCGUUCGGGCGCUGUCGUCGACGCCGGUCAGCGACGAAUCUUCGGGCCUCUUUCCGACCCGUCUUGAAACACGGACCAAGGAGUCUAACGUGCGCGCGAGUCGCGGGGUAUUCGAGUCGUAACGAGGCUCGUAAUCAAACGAAACCCGUGUACGUACGUUGUGCGAAGGCGUAAUGAAAGUGAGGUGNNNNGCUUCGCGNNNCCACCGGGAAGAUGGUGCGCCGAGUACACUUUUCUCGGUCACANGGUACCGAGACCGGCCACCCGCAUUCCCAGGGCGUCCCGCCUGUCCGACGGCGGUGCGGACGAUUUCCGGCCGUCCUCGAACUGGGGCGCACCUUUAGCGUGCACGUUGGUACCCGAAAGAUGGUGAACUAUGCCCGGCCAGGAUGAAGUCAGGGGAAACCCUGAUGGAGGUCCGCAGCGAUUCUGACGUGCAAAUCGAUCGUCUGAGCUGGGUAUAGGGGCGAAAGACUAAUCGAACCAUCUA